rnacentral:misc_RNA from 1 species
GCCUAAACCCAUUUUAUUAACUUCACUGAAUCUCCGAUCACCGGCCAACCUGAGUUCCGGGAUCGGGCACUAUCUAUAGCUGUUAGGGGCUGAAGUCUCAAGAAGUAUGGAGUUUCAGAUUUCUGCGUCAAAUCAAAUCUGCCUCACCUCGUUCAAGUUCCGAUUCCUUCGUCAAGAAACUGAACUAAGUACCAAACGAGGUCGUUUUUG